AUUGAACGCUGGCGGCAGGCCUAACACAUGCAAGUCGAGCGGAUGAAGGGAGCUUGCUCCUGGAUUCAGCGGCGGACGGGUGAGUAAUGCCUAGGAAUCUGCCUGGUAGUGGGGGAUAACGUCCGGAGACGGGCGCUAAUACCGCAUACGUCCUGAGGGAGAAAGUGGGGGAUCUUCGGACCUCACGCUAUCAGAUGAGCCUAGGUCGGAUUAGCUAGUUGGUGGGGUAAAGGCCUACCAAGGCGACGAUCCGUAACUGGUCUGAGAGGAUGAUCAGUCACACUGGAACUGAGACACGGUCCAGACUCCUACGGGAGGCAGCAGUGGGGAAUAUUGGACAAUGGGCGAAAGCCUGAUCCAGCCAUGCCGCGUGUGUGAAGAAGGUCUUCGGAUUGUAAAGCACUUUAAGUUGGGAUGAAGGGCAGUAAGUUAAUACCUUGCUGUUUUGACGUUACCAACAGAAUAAGCACCGGCUAACUUCGUG
rnacentral:rRNA from 1 species